rnacentral:rRNA from 1 species
AAGUAAUGUGAAUUGGAGAAUUCAGUGAAUCAUCUAAUCAUUGAACGCACAUUGCGCCCUUUGGUAAUCCGGGGGGCAUGCCUGUUCGAGCGUCAUUAUAACCCUCAAGCUCUGCUUGGAAAUGGGCCCCGUCCUCACUGCGGACGCUAGGCCUGAAAGAUCCCGUCCUGGCUGUUCAGCUCUGCGUUGUAUUAUUGUACUUCACGCUUUGGAGCCGCUGCCUUAACCCGCCGGACACCCCUUCUUUUCUUUGCUGAGGCUUGACCCUUACUCAGGCAUGGAACCCCGCUGAACUUAAUAAUAGCAAUAAGCGGAGAGAAACGAAACCAACAGGGAUUGCCUUAGUAAGGGCGAGUGAAGGGGCAACGGCUCAAAUUUGAAAGCUGGC